GGGUUGUGAGGUUAAGCGACUAAGCGUACACGGUGGAUGCCCUGGCAGUCAGAGGCGAUGAAGGGCGUGCUAAUCUGCGAUAAGCGCCGGUAAGGUGAUAUGAACCGUUAUAACCGGCGAUACCCGAAUGGGGAAACCCAGUGUGAUUCGUCACACUAUCAUUAACUGAAUCCAUAGGUUAAUGAGGCGAACCGGGGGAACUGAAACAUCUAAGUACCCCGAGGAAAAGAAAUCAACCGAGAUUCCCCCAGUAGCGGCGAGCGAACGGGGAGGAGCCCAGAGCCUGAAUCAGCAUGUGUGUUAGUGGAAGCGUCUGGAAAGGCGCGCGAUACAGGGUGACAGCCCCGUACACAAAAGCGCAUAUGCUGUGAGCUCGAUGAGUAGGGCGGGACACGUGGUAUCCUGUCUGAAUAUGGGGGGACCAUCCUCCAAGGCUAAAUACUCCUGACUGACCGAUAGUGAACCAGUACCGUGAGGGAAAGGCGAAAAGAACCCCGGCGAGGGGAGUGAAAAAGAACCUGAAACCGUGUA
rnacentral:rRNA from 3 species